CGUGCCUAAUACAUGCAAGUCGAACGCUUCUUUUCCCACCGGAGCUUGCUCCACCGGGAAAAGAGGAGUGGCGAACGGGUGAGUAACACGUGGGUAACCUGCCCAUCAGAAGGGGAUAACACUUGGAAACAGGUGCUAAUACCGUAUAACAAUCGAAACCGCAUGGUUUCGUUUUGAAAGGCGCUUUACGGUGCCGCUGAUGGAUGGACCCGCGGUGCAUUAGCUAGUUGGUGAGGUAACGGCUCACCAAGGCCACGAUGCAUAGCCGACCUGAGAGGGUGAUCGGCCACAUUGGGACUGAGACACGGCCCAAACUCCUACGGGAGGCAGCAGUAGGGAAUCUUCGGCAAUGGACGAAAGUCUGACCGAGCAACGCCGCGUGAGUGAAGAAGGUUUUCGGAUCGUAAAACUCUGUUGUUAGAGAAGAACAAGGGUGAGAGUAACUGUUCACCCCUUGACGGUAUCUAACCAGAAAGCCACGGCUAACUACGUGCCAGCAGCCGCGGUAAUACGUAGGUGGCAAGCGUUGUCCGGAUUUAUUGGGCGUAAAGCGAGCGCAGGCGGUUUCUUAAGUCUGAUGUGAAAGCCCCCGGCUCAACCGGGGAGGGUCAUUGGAAACUGGGAGACUUGAGUGCAGAAGAGGAGAGUGGAAUUCCAUGUGUAGCGGUGAAAUGCGUAGAUAUAUGGAGGAACACCAGUGGCGAAGGCGGCUCUCUGGUCUGUAACUGACGCUGAGGCUCGAAAGCGUGGGGAGCAAACAGGAUUAGAUACCCUGGUAGUCCACGCCGUAAACGAUGAGUGCUAAGUGUUGGAGGGUUUCCGCCCUUCAGUGCUGCAGCUAACGCAUUAAGCACUCCGCCUGGGGAGUACGACCGCAAGGUUGAAACUCAAAGGAAUUGACGGGGGCCCGCACAAGCGGUGGAGCAUGUGGUUUAAUUCGAAGCAACGCGAAGAACCUUACCAGGUCUUGACAUCCUUUGACCACUCUAGAGAUAGAGCUUCCCCUUCGGGGGCAAAGUGACAGGUGGUGCAUGGUUGUCGUCAGCUCGUGUCGUGAGAUGUUGGGUUAAGUCCCGCAACGAGCGCAACCCUUAUUGUUAGUUGCCAUCAUUUAGUUGGGCACUCUAGCAAGACUGCCGGUGACAAACCGGAGGAAGGUGGGGAUGACGUCAAAUCAUCAUGCCCCUUAUGACCUGGGCUACACACGUGCUACAAUGGGAAGUACAACGAGUCGCGAAGUCGCGAGGCUAAGCUAAUCUCUUAAAGCUUCUCUCAGUUCGGAUUGUAGGCUGCAACUCGCCUACAUGAAGCCGGAAUCGCUAGUAAUCGCGGAUCAGCACGCCGCGGUGAAUACGUUCCCGGGCCUUGUACACACCGCCCGUCACACCACGAGAGUUUGUAACACCCGAAGUCGGUGAGGUAACCUUUUUGGAGCCAG
rnacentral:rRNA from 1 species